GGAGGAAGGUGGGGAUGACGUCAAGUCAUCAUGCCCCUUAUGUCCAGGGCUUCACACAUGCUACAAUGGCCGGUACAAAGGGCUGCGAUGCCGUGAGGUGGAGCGAAUCCUUUCAAAGCCGGUCUCAGUUCGGAUCGGGGUCUGCAACUCGACCCCGUGAAGUCGGA
rnacentral:rRNA from 1 species